rnacentral:misc_RNA from 1 species
UACGUAGGUGGCAAGCGUUGUCCGGAUUUAUUGGGCGUAAAGCGCGCGCAGGCGGUUUCUUAAGUCUGAUGUGGAAGCCCCCGGUUUAACCGGGGAGGGUCAUUGGAAACUGGGAGACUUGAGUGCAGAAGAGGAAAGUGGAAUUCCAAGUGUAGCGGUGAAAUGCGUAGAGAUUUGGAGGAACACCAGUGGCGAAGGCGACUUUCAGGUCUGUAACUGACGCUGAGGAGCGAAGGCGUGGGGAGCGAACAGG